rnacentral:piRNA from 1 species
CCUUCAGACCAGCCAAGAUUAUAACAAGGC